CCAAACUGGGGAACCGGGGAAGAAAUACAAUUAAGGCAGUUUGCAUCCUCACAAUUUUUUUUUAUAUGUAGAAGGAACGCAGUAUUGCAAGCAGAUACUGGAGUUCGAUCCUCAUGGGGCUUAAGAUUGACUCAACCUUCCAUCCUUCUGAGGAAAUUAUUGCUGCUAUUAAAGAGCGGAUUCAGAGACUCAAUGAAAUGUGGCUCCCUCCCCCACUAAUCCUCCUGUUCCACAGAAAUGGGGAACUGCUGGAAGAAUGGAGAAAGGGUGGUGUGAUGGAAGUUUAAGAAACCAAAUCUGAGAUACUUCUUCAGAAUGGAAGGACUUCUUUGCAUAUGAAAGGUGCAAUUUAAGAAUGUACAAGAGUUCCCUCCUAAUAGGAACAAUGAGAAGUACUUGAGGAAAAGCCUGUUGCUUAGUAGUAAAACAUGCUUUGCAUACUAAGGACCUCAACUUCAGGGAGGAAGGGAAAAAUAGAAAAGUAUUAAAAUACAAAUAUACAAGUAAAAAAAUGGUACAAGUGGAUUUAUUAUUGGAAAGUAAAAUGUCGAAGAGAAAAUUAUUUUUUCAUGCAAAUAUAAACUCGGGAUCACUGAAAUGCCACCCCG